CAGGAUAAGGAGAGAGGAGAAUUCUGGGAAAUGGAAGGCUGAGUCAGGAGAUGCUGUUAGCUGCCACUGCCACCAUGAGAAGCAGGAUGUGAGAUGCUGUGCCCUUUAGGACCACAUGCUGUUACAGCUGUUCAGGAUCUUCUUGCAUGCCACCUGGCUUCAGUCAUUGAGCUGCUACCCACUUCAUCCCACUCCAAGGCAGCAUUUUAAAGACAACACAUUCCACAUUGUGUCUCUCCACGAACCAAAGCUCACAGUUUUCUAAAAGGCUGGCAGCCAGCCAGUCCCAGCAAUCCUACUGUCUCUGCAUCCCGCCCCACAAUGCUGAGGUGAAAUGUUCAGCUUCCUCGGUGGCAUAUGAAACCAAUGCUGACCAUCAUCAUCAUCUCCAGAAAUUAUGGUUGAAGUAGGUUUGCUGCAUUUUCCAUCAGAGGAUACCAAUGUAGCAAGUACAGUCACCAUACUCUCAUUGUAAAAAAGACAUCUUAGUCCAUAAACCUGAUUUUAAAAGACCUGAAAUCUGACAUCUCACAUCGCUUGCCUGCCAUGUCAGAAA